ACAUUGAGAUGACUGUUGUCAUUUCAGCUUUUUAACUUUUUGCUCUCUCUCUUUUUCUUCAUAGAAGGUACAUAAGGUAGGCAAUAAGCAGAAGUGGACAACUAAACAAUAGCUGGGUUUGUGAACAUCAAUGCUGCUGGUGAGACGGAUAGGAGCCGUAUAUAGACGUAAUAAAGACGUUUACUGGUGGACCUCCAGCAGGGACACGUCCCUCAUUUCCAGAGACAGUCCCUGUUUGGAACGUUCUGCUCCCAGAAAAACCUCUUCCUGAUUUCAGCGUUUAGUGAAAGAGAACUAAACCAGAGUUAUUUUGGCAGCUGUUCACGCUGCUGUUAGAGUGGUAGAUGCAGAGCCGUGCAUGGAUAGAUGGGUUUAGACAAUGGAUGGAUGGGACUUUAUAACAGACACAAACCUAACAAAAAGCUGAAUCGAUGUUAAGUACAAGACAAAAGGAAAGACUAGAAUAAAAAAUAAAAUGAUCAUCCUGUACUGGAUCAGGAGUCUAGAGAGCAGACCCUAAAAGUGGCUAAAGAUGUUCUAAUUUCUAAUGGCUCCUCGGGGCUUCCUGGUGAUCGUACCGAGAAGAGAAGGGAGCCGCAGCAGCUCACGUAAAUCAUCAAUAAUUAAAUGUUCUAGCAGACAAUUUACUGAUUUAAAAACUGUUGAACAAAUCUCCAGAUAGGAAGCCAGCCGAUGAGGAGCAGAUAUUAUAGUCACAUGAUUUCUCUCUCUUGACAGGAUGGCUUUUAUUUUGGCGCAUUGCCUCAUUGAUCAGUGCAUCCAACUUAAACCAGAGUCCAUUUUACUGACAGCAGGUUUCCCUAACGAGCCAGAGAAUUGGUGUUUACUAGAGAAGACAUAACCCAGGGCUUCUUUUCACUACAGGGUAAAAAUUAUCCUCAACACAUUUAGUGCCUGAAUGGAGGACGUAUCCUUUUGUUUCAGGGGUGCAGAGACCUGAGUAUCAUCUGCAUAGCUUUUAAAGCAUGGUGCCCAGAGGUAGGAAAUUAAAGGAAAACAUCCAUCCAGGUCCCAGUAUCAGGCCCUGUGGAACCUCACAUCAUAAUGGAGCUCCCUCUGCUGGGUUUGGUGUCACUGAUGCCUAAAACAUAUCAAACAGGAUAUUAAAGUAUUAAGAUUCACUGAAAGCAGAUAUUAAAUCAAGGAGAAGCGCCCUUAAACUACCCCUACCUGCUGGCUGACACCUCUGUACAGCCAGAUUAAAAUGAUCCUCUGACCCAUAAGUGACAUUUUUAAACUGGAACCAGGCUGGCCUGCUAACAGAACCAUGGAGACUUUCAGCCCCGCCGUCCACAGGAACACAGGAACACCUGGAGAAAGCAUCCUGCUGCAAACACACACCCUGCGUCCAUGAAAAGGCUGGUGGCCUGUUGUGGCACAGCAGCGCUCUGACCACAGUCUGCACCAGCAUUACUGACGUGUGGCUCUACGGCGGAGACACAUUACAGCAGUGGAGGCAUUUUUAGCUCGUCUGAGCUCUCCGUCCCACCGCAGGGCUGCACCAACACAGCGCCGUGUGACUGAAUGAAUGUUAGUGGGACUGGCCCGGUCAGCCUCCCAGUGUCACAAUAAACAGGAGGAGCCUAGUCCUCUUACUGAUUUAACCAGCUGCAGCUGCAGCAGGGAUCUGGCUGGAUUAUAAUUAGCUUCAGAGCAAGUCAGCUGGGCCUUCUCACACUGUGAUUAUCCUGUCAUCUAACACCAGAUUACAAUCAUGCACACACUGUGAUCCUCAGAGAACGGCCUGUCUGCAGAUAUUAUGGGAAGGAUGUGCAGACAUAGGUCAAGGCACUGCAAGGAAUGAAGCUGUCUGCUGUGACGCAGCUUCCUGGUUUUACUGGAAACUUCAAAAAACACCUAAAACAAGCAACCAGCUCUCCAGAGCAGGAGGACCAACCUGCUCCUCUCCCUGCAGAUCUGGACCUGACCACUAAAGCUGCACCAGUGAGGGAGCGCACUGAGAACCAGGAAAUUACAUCAUCACUCUGAUUUAAGAGAAGGAAGCUGAACCGCUGUGAGCCCACCCCCACGUUUCUGCAGGACGGACCUCCUGGGUUCACAUCAGCGCCGACGUGACGGCGGAUCAGCGCUCCACAGAUAAAUUGAGGGUAAUCUGGGAUAGGAGAACACGGACUCUCCCGGUCACACAUGCAUGGAUACAGAUACAUGUUUAAUCUCAGCAGAGUGAUUUCCUCCUCGCCCUGCCAAACACAAACCCAGCGUGUUCUGGCUCCACCGUGUCCGGGACACUAAUCUCCUGCACACCCGUCUCAGGUCACAGGAAGUGAUGCGUGGACGCCAUCAGAAGCGCCGAGCAGGAAUCAUUUCAAUAACCGUCACCAUAAAGUUUCUGAUUAUCCCGAUCUGAGGGAGUUUCUCUCCUAAAUAAAAUUAGAACUUCACAGCUUUCUUUCUUUUUAACUAAACACACAAUUCCCAGAUGCAUUGUGGGAAGUAAACUAGCAACAUCUUCCACUCCGCUGCAGCACCUACUGGAGGUCCGUGUUCAGUGAGACCAACAGAACCACCAGAACCAACAGAACCACCAGAACUGAAGCUUCUGCCAUAGAAGUUAGGAACAGAACCUUGAAUCCAAACUAUUUUGACUAAGCAGCAUGAAAACCAAUGGAACCAAAUGACCUUCAGAACGGACCCGGCCACAGGGAUCCAACAGAAACCGUUCUGUUACACACAUUUGGGUCAAUUAGAAGUCCAAGUCCUCCUAAUCAGUAAGAAGCAAUACCCCCAGGUGAGCAGCAGCCCACAGAGCUGCUGGUUUCAGACGGGCUUAGAAACCAAGUGGAGCAUGAAGACGUUCAGCCAGAACCAAAACGAGAUUCUGCUCUGAAAAUGGGUCAAGUUUGGGAAGACAACGUCCAAAACAUCUGGAGCUGCAAAAAGCAAAGCCACGGCCCAGUUAACUAGUUCUAUUGUUCCUGUGUGCUGUGGAGGACCUGGUACCUGGAUCCAGUACCUGUUGAGAGUUCUGUCAGAGUACAACAACGGACCAGAACACUGAACCAGAACCAGAACACACUCACAAUAGUUGGGAACUACCUGUAAAGCCAUCCAACCAUUUUCAAUGAUCGUUGCCACCCUGGCAUGUCAGCCAGCAGGUGCGGUUCUAGCAGAACUCUGUGUUCUGGACGCUCUGGCAGAUAAUCAGGAGCUUUCUGUUUCCUGAACAGCUUCAAAAGCCACAUAAACCAGCCUGUGGACGCCUCUCAACGACUACCGACCUGUUGCACUGACUCCCAUCAUGAUGAACUUUGAAAGGCUGGUAAAGGAACACAUCGUCUCCAGC